rnacentral:lncRNA from 1 species
GGAAGGGCUGCAGAGACUUGGGCGAGCGAGCCUCCCUCAGCAGACUUUUGUUCCAACAUGGAAUUGGCAUGAAUCUCUCGCUCACUGUGUUCCACUCUGCAGUCCUGUGCCAUGAACACUGAAAAUGAGUCAGCCUAUCACUCCUGCCUGUCUCA